CAAAGAGCGUUGGGGGAUAACUCAUUUAACACUCAGCCGAGUCGCCCAUAUUUCAAGUUGAGACUAGGUGAGAUCUUUUCGAGAUCUCGCUUCAGAGAGAACGUCAACGAGCGUCUCACGGUGCAAAGAAAACUUUCCGUUCUCAACGGUGAAAGAUAGGGGGCAAGGCCUGGCCUUCAGAGAAUCCCAACGAAUUUUUUAAUUUUUUGUGGGGAACGGAUCUUUUUUAUCGUCUUUGGUGUUGUGUGAUGUUUUGUGUGAUUGCUCCGGCGAGUUUUGUGGUGAUUGCUGCCGUUGUUUCAAGAAAAGACUAGUUAAACGUACUCUGGCCUUGCCGAUUUGGGGAACUUUGAUAAGUUUCUUGAGUGAAAAUGCCAGCUGUGGGCAGUCAUCAUUGGCCGAUUACUGUAUCUACUUACUUUGUAGCCUACUCUGAUGGAUCAUGUACAGACACCAACAGUGCACGAGCACCAGACAGAAUGUUGGGUGAAGUUGGGUGAAGUGCGAGGGAGAAGCUCCAGGUGUAUGGCCUCAUCAUUUGUACGUACAGGGUUUGUACGAGGUUCCAUGACCCAAGGAAAUGGUUGUUAUCAACACAGGUGCAUUAAUAAUAACUCUCUAGAGCUGAAUUGAUGUGUCCUGCAUACCAUGAUCUCUUAGCAGUAGACUAGUUCUCGGUUCAGGACAUUGUCCCAAUUCUUGUCAUUUCAGUGGAGACUCUGUUGAUGGAUGGGGCCAUUGCUUUCUAGGAUUUCAUGGUCAUGACUGUAGCAAACGCUCUUGCCCCAGCAAUUGUAAUGGAUACGGCAAAUGUCUCUCUAAAGGGCUUUGUGAAUGCGAUAAAGGGUACACUGGUGUUGACUUCUCCACUGGUGAAACUACAUGGAACAUCUUGUCCAAAAAACAAAAACUAGAAGAUGUGCUGGAAAGUGAUAUGUAUGGGAAGCACUGUGCACCCAGUGAACCAAGCAUACUCUAGCAACUAGAAGAAGUAGUUGUCAUGCCCAACUACCACCGUUUGUUCCCAGGUGGUGCUAGGAAGUUAUUUAAUUUCUUUGGCAACAACUAAGCACCUAGCAUAUUGGGUAAGUUGUCUGCCAUCUUGCAAUUGUUUCUGCUGAAAAUUUGGUAUGGACGUGGGCCUCCUCCCCAGCUCCCCUUUAAAUAAGGACUUUCCUAUUUUUAUUUUUGUAUUUUUAUUCUCUCUCUCUGCAUGCCUGUAUGUAGAGAUUAGAUCGAGGCUCUACUUGGUAAUGUAGAACUUAAAAGCAUACCCUCAUAGGGUUGAGAUCCUAUCUAGUUUGUGUAUUGAAAGUCCUCCAGUCACAUAACGCAUUGUCUUAGUUUUCUUGAUGAAAUAGAAGAUGAGUCGAGUGUUGAAGAUU